UGGGAGAUCGUCUAAUGGUAGGACUCCAGAUUCUGGAUCUGGCUAUCGGGGUUCGAAUCCCUGUCUCCCAGCCA
rnacentral:tRNA from 1 species